rnacentral:rRNA from 1 species
AUCUGGUUUAAUUCGAUAUUAAGCGAGGAACCUUACCAGGGCUUGACAUCCCGAGAAUUCACCCGAAAGGGAGAAGUGCCGCAAGGAACUCGGUGACAGGUGCUGCAUGGUUGUCGUCAGCUCGUGCCUUGAGGUGUUCGGUUAAGUCCGUAAACGAGCGCAACCCUUGUCCUUAGUUGUAUUUUUCUAAGGAGACUGCCCUGCAUAACGGGGAGGAAGGUAAGGAUGACGUCAAAUCAGCAUGGCCCUUAUGCCCUGGGCGACACAGGUGCUACAAUGGCCGGUACAACGGGUCGCUAACCUGCGAAGGGGAGCCAAUCCCUUAAAACCGGUCUAAGUUCGAAUUGGAGGCUGCAACUCGCCUCCAUGAAGUCGGAAUCGCUAGUAAUGCCGUAUCAGCUACGACGGCGUGAAUACGUUCCCGGGUCUUGUACACACCGCCCGUCACAUCAUGGAAGCCGGUCGCACCCGAAGUAUAUGCGCUAACUUUAUUGAAGCAGUAUCCUAAGGUGAGGCUGGUAACUGGGAUGAAGUCGUAACAAGGUAGCCGUAGGGGAACCUGCGGCUGGAUCACCUCCUUUCUACGGAGUAAG